AUCUCCAUCUGCAAUAGUCCAAAAGCAGUCUCCACUGGACCGUUGUACCUUUCAGCUCUGUAUGAGCACUUGGAGUGUUUUAGAACUCUUCUUUUAUAUGGGGCUGACCCAGAUUAUAACUGUAUGGACAAUAAAUUCAUGAAGCAGUCCAGUACUGUUAUAGAAUUCUGUCUUCUACAUCACUGUAAGACAGCUUUUGUAAAACUUCUCAUUGAUUUUGGUGCCAACAUUUACUUACCAGGCAUUGAUGGCGUAUUUGGAAGAUCUUAUUUGAAUAAGGAGACAGAGGAAUUUAUACUGAGAGAAAGAGGUCUUGUCAGGUCACUGAAGUCUAAGGCUCGCUUGACGAUCUGGAAAGUGUUGAGAGACUUGGGACGUAUGCAGCUCAUUUACCAGCUGGAGGUUCC